rnacentral:rRNA from 1 species
GUAGCCGGCCGGGAUAAGUCUCUUGGAAAAUCUGGCAGCUUAACUGUCAGGCUUUCAGGAGAUACUGUCUGGCUCGAGGCCGGGACAGGUGAGAGGUACUUCAGGGGUAGGGGUGAAAUCUUGUAAUCCUUGAAGGACCACCAGUGGCGAAGGCGUCUCACCAGAACGGACCUGACGGCAAGGGACGAAAGCUAGGGGCACGAACCGGAUUAGAUACCCGGGUAGUCCUAGCCGUAAACGAUACUCGCUAGGUGUCGGCAACGGUGCGACCGUUGUCGGUACCGUA